CCAGAGAUGGCGGGCCCCCGCGCCCCCGUCCCCAACCCUUUGUUGACCAAACCACUUUUGCCUCGGGGGCAGAGCGGCCUCCGCCGCCCCCGGUGGACCACCUAACACUGUCUCUGUACGUCGGAGUCUUUGAUGAAUAAAUGA
rnacentral:misc_RNA from 1 species